rnacentral:rRNA from 1 species
UAUCUCUGUAGAGUCUGCAUAUCAAUAAGCGGAGGAAAAGAAACUAACUAGGAUUCCCUCAGUAACGGCGAGUGAAGCGGGAAGAGCUCAAAUUUGAAAUCUUCAAGGUUCUACCUUGACGAAUUGUAGUUUAAAGAAGUGUUUUCUGUUGGAGUUUUGGUAAAAGUUCUUUGGAAUAGGACAUCAUAGAGGGUGAGAAUCCCGUAUUUGACCGUUAUUUUCAGCUGUGUGAUACACUUUCAAAGAGUCGGAUUGUUUGGGAAUGCAGUCCAAAAUGGGUGGUAAAUUUCAUCUAAAGCUAAAUAUUGGCGAGAGACCGAUAGCGAACAAGUACCGUGAGGGAAAGAUGAAAAGAACUUUGAAAAGAGAGUUAAACAGUACGUGAAAUCGUCAAAAGGGAAGCGUUUGACACCAGUGUUGAUUUCUCGAAAAUCAAUUAAAAAAGGCAGGAUUUUGUGUUGUAUUGACUUUAUCAGCUUUCUGCACUCUUUUCUUGUCUUUUUUAAUGCACUUUUCGUUUAACAAGUCAACAUCAAUUUCUUUUGUUGUAAAAGAGUCAUUGGAAGGUGGCUUUCACUUCGGUGAAAGUGUUUAUAGCCUUUGGCCUCUGCAAUCGGAGAGAUUGAGGUCUGCAGCGUAGAUCCUUCGGGGCUAGAUACGUAGAUGCUAAGUUAUAGUUUUUUAUAGACAACUUGUUGACUAUAAUUAAUCAUGUAGCUUACUCGUUUGCGCUAUUUUACCUACGCUUAGGAUGUUGAAGAUGUAGCACAUCAU